rnacentral:lncRNA from 1 species
UAGGGCUCUAAUCUCGGGUUUGGGGAUCUUGCUCCUCAGCUUGUCCGCUCCGAGGAGGUGCACAGGGCGGGGAAAAAGGGAUGAAUUUCCCUUUAUACCGCCCUGCUCAGAUAUUUAUAUGUUCCUUCUAUUUUUCUUGAUGACAAUAAUUGUAAUAGUUACAAUAAAAAUAGUGAUUGUCUGUGGCAGAGGAGCUGAAUGAAACGAGGGUGGAGACAGGAAGAUCAAGAAUAAAUGGUUUCACAAAUCGAAGGGAUUGUCUCUUGAGACGCUGAUUAUUUCAGUGGCACGAUUUAAUGUUUCCUAGAGGAAAUGUUCUUCCUGGAAAUGAGGAUCAUAACCCAGCUGGCUCCAGAUUUCGGAGCGAGGAGGCACAAAUUCUACAGCGCAUAUACCAUAUUCUGAAGAACUGCUCCCAACUUUGCAAGGCAUUACAUCUUAAUCGCAAUUUAGCCCAGUCUUCAACAGGCCAUUCCAAAACCCUAUCUGGCUAGCUGCUUCUGGAUGAUGAGUAUGCACCAUGAAUUUUGUAGCUUCGAGUUCACUGUCACACCUCCUUGGCUAUCGGUGGGUUCCUUAGUUUCAGGUAUGUCAAUGGAUAAGGCACCCUGUAAGCUCUCAGAUGGUGGUGCUGCUGGAGGCAAAGUAGUUGGGGAAGACAAGCUCAUUUAGAGCAUAUAUCAAUUCUGGUAAGAACAAAUUGAUGCCCAUUCCAAGGUAAAAGGGAUCUGAUGCACUCAACCUGGUGGUAGCUGGUAUCUCUAAGACUCAGUGUUGGUCUCUAAUGCUGGCAGGCUGGACACUCCACCAUGGUGAGAGUUACAUCAGCCUUGGUAAGAGGUAGACCAUAUUGGCCGGGCACGGUGGCUCACACCUGUAAUGUCAGCACUUUGGGAGGCUGAGGUGGGUGGAU